CCUCAUUAUCUCUCUCAUCUCAACCCUAAAGCAGCCGUAAGACUUCCGCCAUUUUCAUAGACAUUUGACCUAAAAAAUAUCACCAAAAAUCAACCAUACACUCCCCAUAAUCCUUCAAGUACCAUGUCAGUAUUAAUUUUUGCAGAAUCUCCACCAGUCAUUCUCAAUCUCAGAUCAAGGAAUAAAAUACGGAAUCCGUUCUAGUCGUUAAACUCA
rnacentral:lncRNA from 1 species